CUGAGGGCGUUUUGGUAACAACACUUUUCGUGUCCCCUUUGGAAAAUACUAAAACACCCUCUAUCUCUUACCCUCAAACCUUUCGUCGUUCUCUGUCUCCCCCUCACUACUUCCUCCGCCGUUUCAUCACUCUCACUGUCUCACAUUAUCUCCUCUCAAAUCUUCAGUUCUCUUCCUCCCUUCAGUAAAGGAUCUCAAAUUUUGCGUUUUAAUCCAAAUUUUUAAAGUUUUGUGUGUAAUCCAGUACUGCAUCGAACCAGAAGGGGGUGGUUUGGUCACAAAUUGAGGAGGGUCCGACUGGGCCUUGGUAACGGGUACUGCGUCGAACCAGAAGGCGGUGGUUUGGUCACAAAUUGAGGAGGUCUGAUUGGGCAUCAUAACAUUCACAUCAUCGUCUUAUGGGAGCGGGGAGCAAAACGGGUUCUCGGGUCCGGAGGUAUCGCAUUUGGGUUGGGGACAUUGUUACACGUUAAGAGAGUUGGAAGAAGGUACAAAUGGGUUUGGUGAUGAGAAUCUGAUAGGUGAAGGUGGGUAUGGAAUUGUUCAUCAUGGGAUUUUGAGUGAUAAUUACUCAUGUGGCUGUCAAAAUUUGCUAAAUAAAAGGCUAAUUUGACAUGAUUAUAGAAGGAGAGGGGCGCUCUAUUGAAGGCCAUCUCAGAAAACCAGCAAAUCAAUACCCCAAUAUUUCCAACGAGGCUUCCAAAUUGGGCGUAGUAUGGAGAGCUUAUGCAAGCUACCUAUACUAUAGCUUCUCUAACAGCUUCGUUGAAUAUGGACCCUAAUGAAACCGCCAGAAAUUAUAGAACCAAGCUCUGCACAGAUCUAGAAAGUAGAAGUUUCCAAAUCAAUAAUUAUGGUGGUGGGUGCAAAGCGGAGAGUUGAAGAGUUGGAGGAUGACUCUCAUGCAAGUCGUAAGCAUAUUAAGACAAGGGAUCUCCAAUCAGUUCAUCAAUCUGUAGAUAGAAUGUCUGAGGGGAGAGAAUUUGUUCGUUCAGCCGAGCCGGAAUUUCCACAUUGAGCUAGGAGAGCGUGAGAACGUUGGUAAAAAUGUCGUCUUCUUCAUCAUUGAUGUCUCCUACCCCGGAGAAUCGCAUUGUUUUUCUCUGUGUUGGGAUUUGCCGGUGGCAAAUUAAAGGUUUGAUUUACUCUUUGUGAACUGAGUUCCGGGGUUUGUAUUUGUAUUUUCUUCUUGCGAAGUUGAAAACUAGGAGAAUUGGCUGAAGCUUCAAAAUUUUGAAGGCAUCUUUGUUGUUGAAGAUAUAAGAUUGUAUCAAAUUACCGAGUAUAUUUUAAUGCUAGACUGCAAGUUCAUUUUAUUAGCAAAGUCAAAUUUUGUUGUAUAUGAACAUUUUUUAUUACUUUUUUAGGUGAUUUAAUGUAAUAUAAUAGAGAUACAAUAUUUAGUUUUUAAAUAUCCGCACGCAUUGCGUGCAUAUAAGACUAGUAUUUUUAAUAAGAUAACUAGUGUGUGGCCCGGGCGAUGCCCCGGUUGCUACAUUGAAUAACUAAA